rnacentral:rRNA from 1 species
UACGUAGGGUGCAAGCGUUAAUCGGAAUUACUGGGCGUAAAGCGUGCGCAGGCGGUUAUGCAAGACAGAUGUGAAAUCCCCGGGCUCAACCUGGGAACUGCAUUUGUGACUGCAUGACUAGAGUACGGCAGAGGGGGAUGGAAUUCCGCGUGUAGCAGUGAAAUGCGUAGAUAUGCGGAGGAACACCGAUGGCGAAGGCAAUCCCCUGGGCCAAUACUGACGCUCAUGCACGAAAGCGUGGGGAGCAAACAGG